CCGCGCAGAUGCCAGGGGCGGAACCUCCUCUCCAGCCUGGGUCCCUGCUGUCCUCAGCUUGAGAAGGGAAGGGUAUGGUGCCUUCAAGGAACUGGAAGAAAACCAGUAUUGCUGGUGGAUUGUAUUUGCUGCUUUCAAUGGAGCGAAUCCCCCCUCCCCACCAGAAACAGCAAAGAAACAGCAACUGGAAGAUAACAGAAUCAUGAAAGCAUGAUUGAAGAACAAAAAAAUUGGAGAGCUGAUACUUCCACUUCUUUUAAGAGUUC
rnacentral:lncRNA from 1 species